AACAAGCAUAAGUGGCCCUGGGACAACAGGAAAAAGGAGAAGGAAAAAGUCAGACUGAGCUGCUACAGAGAAGAGGGUGAUCAAGGAGGACCAUUGUUUAGGUAGACAUCUGAAACAGAAGACUCUGGGCAAAAACAUCAAGUUUACCUAUCUCUUCAAGGACUGAGGGACUUUCCAAGAAAAGAUGGGGACAGAUGUAGGAGGUUAUUCAUGGACAUUAAAGUGGCAGUUUAAAGUAAUCCUUCUUAUUACCAUUAAAUAACAGUAACAUUUGGUAUAAACGAGAUAAUUCUUCCUAAAGUUCCAUGCAAAUUAUGUGACCGGUGAGAUGACUGGAGUGUCCUCUACUGCCACCUGCUGC